UGAGGAAUUUUGCGCAAUGGGGGGAACCCUGACGCAGCAACGCCGCGUGGGUGAUGAAGGCCUUCGGGUCGUAAAGCCCUGUCGGGCGGGAAGAACGUCCCUUCGGGGAAUGACGGUACCGCCAGAGGAAGCACCGGCUAACUCCGUGCCAGCAGCCGCGGGAAUACGGAGGUUGCAAGCGGUAUUCGGAAUUACUGGGCGUAAAGGGCGUGCAGGCGGGAGAGCAAGUCUGAUGUGAAAGCCCGGGGCGUAACCCCGGAAGGGCAUUGGAAACUGCUUUUCUUGAGUUCUGGAGAGGAAGGGAGAAUUCCCGGUGUAGAGGUGAAAUUCGUAGAGAUCGGGAGGAACAUCAGUGGCGAAGGCGCCCUUCUGGACAGCAACUGACGCUGAGACGCGAAAGCGUGGGGAGCAAACA
rnacentral:rRNA from 1 species